UACGUAGGGUGCAGGCGUUAAUCGGAAUUACUGGGCGUAAAGCGUGCGCAGGCGGUUUGCUAAGACAGGUGUGAAAUCCCCGGGCUUAACCUGGGAAUGGCAUUGGAAACUGGCGGGCUUGAGUGUGGCAGAGGGGGGUGGAAUUCCGCGUGUAGCAGUGAAAUGCGUAGAGAUGCGGAGGAACACCGAUGGCGAAGGCAGCCCCCUGGGCUAACACUGACGCUCAGGCACGAAAGCGUGGGGAGCAAACAGG
rnacentral:rRNA from 1 species